AGUUAGUGCACAUGUACAAAGUCCAACUCGCAUCCUGGGGUGGUUCAGCUCUGGGGUUUUCCUUUGUAGCACUGUGAGACAGAUUUCCGAAAGAGGAAAAUAAAUUAGGGCAAAACAUAUCCUUCGUGGAAUCCGUGAUCGAAACGAAUCACUUGGUUCAUUGUUUCGUUUCCUUGCGUUUUGUACAAUGGCGCACCAGCAACAUUCGUCGACGCUACCAUGGAUGCUCGAUGCUGUACCUUUAUUCGUCGUUCUUCUAAUAGCGGCUCAUGUUCUCGGAUUGGUAUAUUGGAUUUAUAGAUUAGCAACCCAGAAACAGCCACUGCUGAGGCCAAAGGCCCACUGAAGGAGGAGAAGAAGUAACCAGUUUGCAUCCUUGGAGAAAGGAAAUUUUUGCUGCUGACUACUUUGGGAAAUUGCAAUGCUCGGAAAUGUCAGGCUAUAAAAUUUUGAUCAUUUCCCUGUAGGUCAUCUAAGAAUUUUGUAGUAUCAAUAUUUAUAAAUGGUCCUUGCAUAGUUGCAUGUGUUAGCUCAAGUUAGUUGUCUGUUUUCACUAGUUAUUUAUUGGUCGAUCUUCCUUUACGGCCUUGGACAAACUGUAAGUUGAUGAAGUGCAUUAUUAGGAGUUGAAUAAAUAGUGGAAAUUUCUGGUCUGAUACUUGUUAUUUUGUUGGGAUGCUUUAUGCUGUAUGUUCCUUAAAUGGCCAAUUCUAUGAUGUACAUGUGAGGUGAGUUUUUCAUCAUGCACGUGUUUGUUUGUUUCUACCAUUGUACUAUUAAGUCCCACCAUUAAAAUCAAAUGAGAUAUGAUGGAAUUAA